UUCAUUUUUAUUUCAACCACUUUCAACAAAUGGCCAACAAUCAUUGAAAAGUGGCAACAGAGGGCAAAAUUCACAAAACAACCAAAGGAUUCACCAAGCCUGGUAUGGUCAGCAGAAACCACCACACCGACACUGAGUCAUAAGUAACACAGCCAGACUGCGUUGCCGUUAUAGCAACCGGAAAUCCUGUUUUUCUUUUCAGCCAUGACAAUAUUUUGCUACUGACAGUUGUAGACAAAACAGGGAUAUUUGUAAAGGAUAACAAACAACAAUUGUCGGUCUUGUUGCCCAUCUGCGAGGAUUUCGAUGAUGGAAUGGCUGGAGGGUGCAGCGUACAUACAUUGCACCAAAGUACUACAGCGAAGAAAAAUUGAAAAUAAUGCAAAGUUCAUCUGCUGUUGAAGGGAUCACAAAAACCUUCAGGAUAGGAUAACAUAAAAAGGCAAGGAGAAGAAAAUUUCAAUAGUACUUUUACUUUUUUUGAAAGGAAUUUUAACAAAUGCUGUAAAAUUUUCGAAUUAACGAUAAUAAAGGGAAUUUAAAAUUUAACUGCAAAAAGAAGCAGUUAUUUUUGUGAUUCCGAAACUUUUGAA